GAUGAACGCUAGCGGCAGGCUUAAUACAUGCAAGUCGAGGGGCAGCACGGGUAGCAAUACUGGGUGGCGACCGGCGCACGGGUGCGUAACACGUAUGUAAUCUGCCUAUAACUGGGGGAUAGCCCGAAGAAAUUCGGAUUAAUACCCCAUAGUAUUGUUGAGUGGCAUCACUUGAUAAUUAAAGCUCCGGCGGUUAUAGAUGAACAUGCGACUGAUUAGCUAGUUGGUGAGGUAACGGCUCACCAAGGCGACGAUCAGUAGGGGUACUGA
rnacentral:rRNA from 1 species